rnacentral:rRNA from 1 species
GUAGGUGGCAAGCGUUGUCUGGAAUUAUUGGGCGUAAAGCGUGCGCAGGCGGUUCUUUAAGUCUGAUGUGAAAGCCCACGGCUCAACCGUGGAGGGUCAUUGGAAACUGGAGAACUUGAGUACAGAAGAGGAAAGCGGAAUUCCACGUGUAGCGGUGAAAUGCGUAGAGAUGUGGAGGAACACCAGUGGCGAAGGCGGCUUUCUGGUCUGUAACUGACGCUGAGGCGCGAAAGCGUGGGGGAGCAAACAGGAUUAGAUACCCUGGUAGUCCACGCCGUAAACGAUGAGUGCUAAGUGUUAGGGGGUUUCCGCCCCUUAGUGCUGCAGCUAACGCAUUAAGCACUCCGCCUGGGAGUACGGCCGCAAGGCUG